UUUUGUCUCUCGCUUCUUGGAUUCAAACGAACGUAAAUACUACGAAUAUAUAUAUAUAUAUGUAUGUAUAUAUUUCGUGUGCUUUGUUUGGCGCGCGAGUUUCGAACGUGUUGCUGGCAAAUAAACGAGGAACUGUGUAAAAAAAAUACUUGGGAAGAGCAGAAAAUUCCAGACCGAUCAAUAUCUCGAAUUUCACGAGUGGGAAUAAUAAACAUAUGCACGAUCUUAAGCGUAAAGAUACUUCUACUCAAUUUCUCCUUCUUCUUCUUGUCACGAGACGAGAAAGAAAAAAAAAACCCUGCAAUGAGUUCCACUAAAUUACACAGAGAUGCGAUAAUGGUAACGGAGGUAACGAGAGAAACAACGAGAGAUGGCGGUAGAGAAGUAAAAACUGAAACGAUUUUAUCGAAACGUAUCCUGCGCGCGCAGGUUUCUUCCGCUUUCGCGACAAAGCGUAAGUGCGCGCGCCGCGGAAACCGGCGUAAUAAUUGGAGAACGAGAAGAUGUACGGCCGACCGAGUACCGCUAUUCCGGCUGACCGGAAUCACUGCUCUGGAACACCACGGUCUUCUCUCCCUCUCUUCUCUUCUCUCUCUCCUCUUCAAUCUCGAAAACCUGCGCGUCAACGUGCUCGCAGGAGAAACACGUGCUACUGGCUAACACCUGUUCCAUGGCUCGGACGCUUUUUCCACGAGUGGAUUUUCAAUCCUUGAUCCUGACUCGAGAAUUGAGUAAUUGAUUUAUCGUUUUCUUACGUUUUUUCUUUCUCUCUCUUACGCAAGAUAAGAAAAAUUUAACAAACUAACGUGUGAUUGAUAACCUUUUGAAUAUAAUCUUAACGUUCUUGCAAUAUGGUUAAAUGUUAAAAAUAACAUUUUUUUUUUGGAUUGUGAUCUAUAAAUUGAGAACCAUUAAAUUAAUCUAAUCGUACACUUGAAAUAUUGAAAAUGUGUUUUAUGAGGUCGGUGAUAGAGAGCGGAAAUUCCGGAAUGGAAAUAAUUUCGAAGAUAAAACUUCCGUUUUAUAACCAGUACGAAGGUCGACAGAAAUAUAAAAUGGUUCAUGGUUCGAUACUUUAUGACCCCUUUGUGAUUUGUAUAAAUUUGCAAUGUCAUGUAAUGAUAGAAGGGAUCACUUAAUUUUAAACUCGAGCCUUUGAAAGCCUUUGUGUUAAGGUAUGUACUUAUGAAUCAUACAAACCUAACCUAAACGUAUCGCAAUAACAUUUUAGGUUUUCUGUUUUUCAUUAUUCUAACGAUAAUAAUUUACAUUAAAUAUUUAAUGAAACACAAUUUGGACAACUACUUACUAGUAAGUAUCCAAAAUAUUCCUAAAUUUUCACUGAAAUCACUCGCUACUUCUUCAUUAUUUACAUUUUGAUUCAGCAUUUAAGAAAUACACAAUAACAUCGAGCAUCGAACAAAUGAACGUUUUGCCAUUCCUUGCGCAUACUUUUCCUUAUCUGCAUGAUUUAUCGACAAAUUUAAUUUACCACCGGCACGUGACCAUUAUUCACCUCGUAACAAGCGGUACUCCACGACAUAAGGAACAUUGAAACGCAAAACGGUCAGUUACGAAGAGGACAAUGGAAGCCUUACGAGGAACACCAUGAAGAAAGGAAGGGACGUCGUGAAGAUAUUUUGGCUAUAGUCUAUGCACAUUUCUCUCGAUUUCUUAAGGCAACACGAGGUCAAUAAUUCCUCUGUUAUGAUACGUAUAUAUCUGAUGAACUCACCCUCUAUACAUCAAGAUAUUUUAUUUUUGUAACAGCUUGAAUAUUGAAGUAUUACUAAAUGAUAAUUAAUUGGUAUACAAAUAUUACAAUACAAAAGAUUGAUUCUAGAGGCCAAAAUAAAUACAAACAUUGUUUAUUCAUUAAGUUAUAAGCAAUUAAAGGCAAAGAUGAAAUGAGAUAACUGUCUUCAUUCUUCUAAUGCAAAUUUCAAUUGUUUAAUAAAUUUUAACUCACAUUUUUGUUUUGAUGUUCUAUGAAUAUGUUCUAGAAAUAUACAGCAGACGAUAAAUAUGUAACAAGCGUGACACGAAUAACCUAUAACCCAAUAUGAAUAAACAUAAAUACAAUCAGUGUCUAGAAUCCCCUGGUGUAACCAGUCUUAAGGGUUACAAUAUUCGAAUGAGUCAAUCAACGAAUAAAAUUUCGAUCGAAACGAAGGCCUGAAGAAGAAGGAAAACUUAUCUAAAUGAGGGUCCGGCUCAGCUUCAACAAGGAACUGCGACAAGUUUCACUGGGCCCAUAAGAAAAAAGCAGAGAAUGUCGAAGGCCUUGUUAACAGGAUCUACGCGUAUUCAUUUCUGCCAUAUCAUUUUCAACCUUCGAUUACGUCUCUCGACAUAGUUACUAUUCCAAUCGUCUUCUCAUCCUAUCUUUUGACACUGAUUUAUAUACACCAAUGUGUGUUUAAUCAAACUGAUUACCACUCGAGUGAUAAUUUUAAAAAAUACACAUGACUUAUUGCUCUUUUUUUAAUUAAAAUGUUUUAUCUCAUGCUUUUUCU